AGAGUUUGAUCAUGGCUCAGGAUGAACGCUAGCGGCAGGCAUAAUACAUGCAAGACGAACGGCAAGCUUAGUAGCAAUACGGAGCCUAGAGUGUCGUACGGGUGCGUAACACGUAUGCAACCUACCUUUUACAGGAGUAUAGCUCGGGGAAACCCGAAUUAACCCUCCAUAACACAGCGCUGAGGCAUCUCAAAGCUGUUAAAACUGCGGUGGUAAAAGAUGGGCAUGCGUUUGAUUAGUUAGUUGGCAGUGUAACGGACUACCAAGACGAUGAUCAAUAGGGGACCUGAGAGGGUGAUCCCCCACACUGGCACUGAGAUACGGGCCAGACUCCUACGGGAGGCAGCAGUAGGGAAUAUUGGACAAUGGGUGAGAGCCUGAUCCAGCCAUGCCGCGUGCAGGAAGAAGGCGUUAUGCGUUGUAAACUGCUUUAGCCAGGGGAUAAAAAGACCUUGCGAGGUUAAUUGAAGGUACCUGGAUAAUAAGCCACGGCUAACUACGUGCCAGCAGCCGCGGUAAUACGUAGGUGGCAAGCGUUGUCCGGAUUUAUUGGGUUUAAAGGGUGCGUAGGCGGCCCUGUAAGUCAGUGCUGAAAUAUCCCGGCUUAACCGGGAGGGUGGCAUUGAUACUGCAGGGCUUGAGUACAGAUGAAGUAGGCGGAAUUGACGGUGUAGCGGUGAAAUGCAUAGAUAUCGUCAAGAACACCGAUAGCGAAGGCAGCUUACUAAGCUGUAACUGACGCUGAGGCACGAAAGUGUGGGGAUCAAACAGGAUUAGAUACCCUGGUAGUCCACACUGUAAACGUUGAUGACUCGAUGUUGGCGAUACACAGCCAGCGUCCAAGAGCAAUCGUUAAGUCAUCCACCUGGGGAGUACGCCGGCAACGGUGAAACUCAAAGGAAUUGACGG
rnacentral:rRNA from 1 species